CCUACGGGAGGCAGCAGUGGGGAAUAUUGGACAAUGGGCGAAAGCCUGAUCCAGCCAUGCCGCGUGUGUGAAGAAGGCCUUCGGGUUGUAAAGCACUUUCAGUGGGGAAGAAAGCCUUGGGGCUAAUACCCUCGAGGAAGGACAUCACCCACAGAAGAAGCACCGGCUAACUCCGUGCCAGCAGCCGCGGUAAUACGGAGGGUGCGAGCGUUAAUCGGAAUUACUGAGCGUAAAGCGCGCGUAGGCGGUCUGAUAAGCCGGUUGUGAAAGCCCCGGGCUCAACCUGGGAACGGCAUCCGGAACUGUCAGGCUAGAGUGCAGGAGAGGAAGGUAGAAUUCCCGGUGUAGCGGUGAAAUGCGUAGAGAUCGGGAGGAAUACCAGUGGCGAAGGCGGCCUUCUGGACUGACACUGACGCUGAGGUGCGAAAGCGUGGGUAGCAAACAGGAUUAGAUACCCCGGUAGUC
rnacentral:rRNA from 1 species